GACGAACGCUGGCGGUGUGCUUCACACAUGCAAGUCGAACGAGGUAGCAAUACCUAGUGGCGGACGGGUGAGUAACGCGUGGGAAUCUGCCCAUAGGUGGGGGAUAACUAGCCGAAAGGUUAGCUAAUACCGCAUAUGCCGAGAGGUAAAAGGAGUAAUCCGCCUUUGGAUGAGCCCGCGUCCGAUUAGCUAGUUGGUAGGGUAAAAGCCUACCAAGGCUACGAUCGGUAGCUGGUCUGAGAGGAUGAUCAGCCACAAUGGGACUGAGACACGGCCCAUACUCCUACGGGAGGCAGCAGUGGGGAAUUUUACGCAAUGGGGGAAACCCUGACGUAGCGACACCGCGUGAACGAAGAAGCCCUUUGGGGUGUAAAGUUCUGUCGGCUGGAACGAAAAAAAUGACGGUACCUGUGGAGGAAGCAUCGGCUAACUACGUGCCAGCAGCCGCGGUAAU
rnacentral:rRNA from 1 species